GAGUGGGCAGCAACGAGGAGGAAGUACUGCAGCGCCUCGCCACGUCAGACCCACCGUCUGCAUGCCUGAGGGAAUUUUGAAGGAAUGUAGGCUAUGCUCGUCCUCUCUCUACCCCGGGUCGAGGAAAGACGAGGACAGCGAUCAUGAAUGCAAGGUAAAAGCCACAAUCACCACUUCCCAUUAGCCUACAGUCUAGAGUGGGCAACAGCGGGAGGAGUAAGUACUGCAGUGCCUCGCCACGUCAGACCCACCGUCUGCAUGGCUGAGGGAUCUUUUAGGAGUGUAGGCCAUGCUCGUCGUCCUCUCUCUACCCCGGGUCAAGGAAAGGCGAGGACAGCGAUCAUGAAUGCAAGAUGUGGUGUGAUCUUUACAUGAACUGGAGUUAGGAGGAUCAAGAGGGCCUAGUGAGGCAGGCAUCUUCUCAGGAACAUGGAGAUACAAGUACAGGUGUUCAGCAUCAUUAGUCCGUGGAAUUUGCUGCACUGUGAACUUGAAAUCCACCUACAGCUACUUGCCAGUGUCCAAUCAAGUGCAGAGUGAGUUUCAGGGUUACAUACAUGACAAAGGAAGAAAAUGGAGAUUUAGGUACUUUAUUGAACUAAUAUCUAACAGAGUCCUACACCUCAAUAUCAACAUAGUCACUGCUGUCAUUAUCAGUAUCCACACAGUGUGUAUCUUGUGUAAAACUGUGACAACAAUUCUUGUACACAGUUGUAAAGAGUGAUGUGCACUUAAUGUGUGUUAGAGUGGGUUUACUUCCCAUAAUUUUGAGAUGAUGGAGUUAUGUGUUCCUGACAUUGUGCUACAUCCAUGUGUUGCCAGAC
rnacentral:lncRNA from 1 species